CCUUCCUCAGCCCCCUCACAUUUCUUAUCUUCCCCAUUCUUCUCUUCCUACCUCCUCCUCUGUUGACUCACGCUAGAUCCCCCAUCCACAGCCGGCACUCUCUGGUGGCCGCCCCUCCCCUUCGUCACCAUUGUCGGCGGACACGCAGGCCCAUGCUCUUCCCCGCCCCGCCCCUUCUUCACAUCCUAUUCCCGAAGUGCUCGAGGAGGCGCUCGAGCUCGGCAUGCUCGCCGGCGACACCGGAGCCCUCCCUCCUCCUGAUGCACUCUCCGUCGCCGCCAUGAGCGUCUCUACCUUCUCCCGCGCGCCAUGAAUCCUCCCUCCCCCCUACUCGAGACGCCAUCAAGGUCCGGUUCCAACUCUUCUUCUCCCCUCGAUCCGGAUGCUCUGCUCUCCGAGACCAUCUUUAUUUGCUUGUUCGAUUCAGUCUGGAGCAGGAGCAGCUGCUACUCCCGACCUCCGAUUCCUUCUUUCCAUGGAUGACCACGAAGACCUCCGCAUGAUGUGCUGCUGCUCGGGGCCCUCCCUAUGCUUCUCCUCGCUCGUAAGGGUCCAGGUUAGUCUCUCCGACCCUGCCGCCUGCUCGUCCCCAUCAAAUCGGUGCGUAGCCUCACCGUGUGCAAUGUUCAUCGCCUAGGGUUAGCUGCUCAGGGGCCAUGGUGUGUUCCGUGUGGCGCUGCCUUCGCGGCCGCCGCCGUUCCCUUGUUGUGUCUCUGAGACUGGAGGUCCCUGCUCGCCAACUCACAGACGGUUGUUCUCCGACCAGUUAAAAAAGAGUAAGCUUUCUUCCAAGCCUAUGAUUUUCCUUUCAUCCUCUUAGUUGGUGCCUUUGUUGAUGAUGCAGCCCUGAAUGGUUCAGAUUUUCUGAAGGAGGAGGUGCCGAAAGGGGAUGGGAGCAACAAGUCUGAAUCGAAGAGUAUGUUUUGAUUCUGAGAUGCAUUGCACAGUAUUUUUAUUGUUCUAAGAAAUCUAUGUAGUUGUCUAUGGAGCAUUUCCUUGAAGUGAUGGUUGGGCAUAUUUGUUUACUAAUUCGAACUUCCAGAUUACCUUAGUCGGCAACUCCAAAUAUUUCUUAGAUGUCUUACCACAAGCAUUGUACUGCAAAAAUAUACUCCCUCUGUCCCAAAAUAAGUGUCUCAACUUUGUACUAACUUUAGUAUAAUGUUGUACUAAGCUUGAGACACUUAUUCUGGCACGGAGGGAGUAUAUACUAAACCGGUUCAUGAUAGAUCAACCAUAUCUCGUUGAUGCUCUCACCUAUUAGGAUAUGUACAUGAAAAGAAGGAUAUGCUCAAACUGCUUAGUCCCAACAACCAAUCAUUCAAGUGCACCAUUUUACACUCUGGAAGCAGGAAGUGCAACUUCUUUAGUCUUUAGAAUUAGAAUGGAUCAGGUGUACUCCAGAUGUUUUCAGUUUUAAAUAAUUAUGCACACAAGAGUGCAUUGCGAAAUAGCAAUAAAAAGUUGGAUUUUGACUGGUACCGAAAAGGAUUAGACCUCCGUAGAAACAAUUCGCUGCUGCUGACUCGGACAGAGUUGUGCUGCACCACGUCGAUCUCGCCGUCAUCGAAGUCGAUGAUGGACAUGCCCGUAUCUUGCCGCCUGCAUGGCAUGUGUGGUGACCGUAUGGACAUGAAGCUGAUCCUAUUGCUCAAAGGAUACAUAUCAUCUUUAUGUGUUUCCUGAACUGGUCGGAUUAGCAGCGAUGUUUGCAUCUCCUCCCUCUUCCUACUCGAACACCACUUUCUUCUAGGAACUGAUGGCAUGUCCUGCCAUGAAGAAUUUGAAGCGGUCAGAAGACAUAAGAGCCCGGUCCUAUCCUAUGUUAAGGCCAUGCUGAUGUGUAAGAGUUUGCGGGUGACAUCCUCCAUGGCAAUCAUAUUCCCUCCAACAUCCUUCAGGCCAUGGCGACCAGGUAAUGCUAACAGCUCAGUUGGAUAAAGGUUCCUUAUGUCUUGCGAUUUAGUCGAGUUGGGUUACUCUAUUGUGUGGCUCACGUCGGGGUUGAGUAGAGUUAAUCUUGCCUAUGCUAGUGCUAGCCUGCUGGAUUUGGGUGAUAUCCAAAGAUACAUUUAAACUUACACUAUAAAUUAUACCUUGCAAACAAAUUUCCUUAGAGGGGAAUUAUAACAUGCAAGCACUAUAAGUUCAGUGUAUUAUUAUUAGUACUGCAUAGCAAAUUAGCAAUCCAGUUCAUUCAUAAAUAAGAUUUCAACACACCAUUGGUAUAGAACAUCGUACAUAGUUUCGAGGUCUACAUGCCUCGCCUGAUCCUGAAUUUGACCCAUAAAUAGAUUUCAGAGACACAACUGUAAAUACAUUAAGUAAGAGCAAUUACCAGAGGUGACUGUUGCUGCUGUUUUGCCGGCAAGAGGGCAUGCAUCUGUGCAUACAGCAGCCACGGACUAAGCAUUCCUUCACAAGCAGUAAGGUGUUCUUGCCCUUGCCUUCCAGCUGUUGCGUGAAUAAAUGACAAAGUAUUAGCAUCACAAGCGAAGAAUAACAGAAAUCGUCUUAUCAAACGAUGGUGCAGUCGGACUAAUAACUAACCAUAGCGGUGAGGUCUUUGCGGUGCAUUCCUGGGCCUAGCGAGUCGAGCACCUGGAUACACUGAAAAUAGGCAUUUUUUUAGUUUAGGUCCCAUCUAUACAAACAUCCAUCCUCGAUUAAAUUAAUAGUAAUAUGUACGGAACUGAGGCUCACUAUAUCAUGUUCCAAAUAAGUUGUAGCCCUCUUUAAUACCCAUCUUGGUGCGUCAUCGUGUAUAGAGCUAAAUUCCUUAUCUUAGAGAUGCAUGCAUUCUUUAAGAACAAAAUUCAUGUAUUCAUCAGUAUUUGCUAUGGGAGUAUUGCAUCCAAGUUGGUACGAUUCAAAAGCUACAUCUUGAUGCGUCAUCAUGUAUGGAUCAUUUGUCUGGUCAUUACCCAGGAUAGAAAAUCAUAAUAUUAGUAGAGCAUAACAAUGUAGGUAUUGUAGUAGACGUAGGAUCGACAAAAGUAAUUUGCAGAUUUUUUGUGUUUUGAGUACCAGGUUCGACAGAGCCUCUCUUAUCAUUAUCCGACAUAUUUUUCUAGUUGAUUUGAGCCAGUAAAAGGCUCCAUACCUGAACAAAGGAAAGAGAACCCGAAUGUACGGUCAAAUAAACAUUGUCGACACAGUUGCAACAUAAUUAAAUCGACAAACUAACCAUCUUCAAUUGUGCAAUAUGGGUCUCAUAUUCUGCUGAGUUGGGGUACCUUAACCCCUGAAAUUUGGACGUUAGGCCCUGCAUUCACCAUUUUUCAACAUAGAAAACCAUUAAUGAGAUGUAAAACGGGCUUAUAGCAUUCUGCUGUGCAACUAUUUAUUUUUUAGAACUCUGUUGUCAAAAUUCUAAUCCUGACUAAUGUUGCAACAGGUCAAAGAAGUCGAACCUGAAGAAGUGCAGGGAAGAAUUAUAGUUGCGUGUGGCUGGCUGGUUCAGGGGAAUUUCAGGGUGGCGCGGGUGCCGGAGCAGGCUCCUAGGCACUGGCGAUCUGUCGGACGGAUAUUAGAAACGAAGGUGAGGUUGUAUCUUGUUAGGCGGGUCUUCAUUGGCUGUUGAAAUCAUACCUGGCCGAUCUGAUGGGGCUGCCUACUGCUCCAAAACUCAUGCAGAUGAUGCAUAAUGAUCUUGUUGUAGCCUGGCUGAUCCAUGAAUAUUUGAUUGUAGGUGAAGGAGGAGCGGCCGCCCACUCGACGUUGCGAUGUAGGGCGGCGAGGGAGCCCGGCAGGGAGGCCUCAAUGCGCUGCAGGACGUCGAGGGAACCGUCCAGCGAGGCGACGAUGCGAUGCAGGGAUCGAGGCCGCCGUGCAUGGAGGCGACAGGGCGCGACAGGGCUGCUGAGCUUCGUCUGGAGCGGUGGCGAGGAAAGGCAGGGAGAGGGGCCAGGGACACGAUUAGGUUCGGCUUCCUUUUUUUGUGAGUUGGUUAGAUGGUUAGAUUAGCGUGAUUUGAGGGGCUGCGGAUGCGGGACGGAGAGUCUCAUAUUUUCAUCUGGUGGAGUACGGUCAGUCUAUUGAAACUACUAAGCGCACACCAGAUCUUGAAUAAAUUAAUGAUGGCUGUUAGAUUGGGUUGUGUGGGCUUCAUCCUGUGGUGCUGAUGCGUCUGUGGACGUUUUGCGGGGUGCACGUAAGAAAGUUCCUGUUUGAUUGUUUAAUAGUAGUGAAGAUAACGACUUGUGUCGAGGACAGAUAAUGACGCACACAUGUCAAUUAUUCAUUAGGAAAGUGAAGGGAAUUGACAACUUUUCUUAUCAGUAGACAAGGAAAGCUGUGUUGGGUGUGAGGUGCUAAAAUUUAACCGACAAGCCUU
rnacentral:lncRNA from 1 species